UACGUAGGUGGCAAGCGUUGUCCGGAUUUACUGGGCGUAAAGAGCGCGCAGGCGGUCGUUCAAGUCGCGUGUGAAAGCCCCCGGCUCAACUGGGGAGGGUCACGCGAUACUGAUCGACUCGAAGGCAGGAGAGGGAAGUGGAAUUCCCGGUGUAGUGGUGAAAUGCGUAGAUAUCGAGAGGAACACCAGUGGCGAAGGCGAGUCUCUAGACAACUCCUGACACUGAGGCACGAAAGCUAGGGGAGCAAACAGG
rnacentral:rRNA from 1 species